AUACGGAGGGUGCAAGCGUUAUCCGGAUUCAUUGGGUGUAAAGGGUGCGCAGGCGGAAUGAUAAGUCAGUGGUGAAAUCCUACAGCUUAACUGUAGAACUGCCAUUGAUACUGUCAUUCUUGAGUACACUUGAAGUGGGCGGAAUGUAUCAUGUAGCGGUGAAAUGCAUAGAUAUGAUACAGAACUCCGAUAGCGAAGGCAGCUCACUAAAUUGUAACUGACGCUCAGGCACGAAAGCGUGGGGAGCAAACAGGAUUAGAAACCCCAGUAGUCC
rnacentral:rRNA from 1 species